CCUCCCCCACCCUCAUUCCCGCGCCACCGCGUCUCCUUGCCACCUACCGGGCUUCGGACCCCCGGUCUCACAACCGAAACAUGACUGGCAAUUUCAAACCUGGAGACCUCAUCUUUGCCAAGAAGAAAGGUUAUCCCCAUUGGCCAGCUCGAGUAGAUGAAGUUCCUGAUGCAGCUGUAAAGCCACCCACAAACAAACUACCCAUUUUCUUUUUUGGAACUCAUGAGACUGCUUUUUUAGGACCAAAGGAUAUAUUUCCUUACUCAGAAAAUAAGGAAAAGUAUGGCAAACCAAAUAAAAGAAAAGGUUUUAAUGAAGGUUUAUGGGAGACAGAUAACAAUCCAAAAGUGAAAUUUUCAAGUCGACAGACAGCAACUAAACAAUCAAAUGCAUCAUCUGAUGUUAAAGUUGGAGAAAAGGAAACUAGUGCUUCAGAGGAAGAUACCGACCAUGAAGAAAAAGCCAGCAAUGAGGAUGUGACUAAAGCAGUUGACCCAACAACUCCAAAAGCUGCCAGAAGAGGGAGAAAGAGAAAGUCAGAAAAACAAGUAGAAACUGAGGAGACAGGAGUAGUGACAACAGCAACAGCAUCUGUUAAUCUAAAAGUGAGUCCUACAAGAGGACGACCUGCAGCCACAGAAGUCAAGAUUCCAAAGCCAAGAGGCAGACCCAAAAUGGUAAAACAGCCCUGUCCUUCAGAGAGUGACAUCAUUACUGAAGAGGACAAAAGUAAGAAAAAGGGGCAAGAGGAAAAACAACCUAAAAAGCAGCCUAAGAAGGAUGAAGAGGGCCAGAAGGAAGAAGAUAAGCCAAGAAAAGAGCCAGACAAAAAAGAGGGGAAGAAAGAAGUUGAAUCAAAAGGAAAAAUUUAGCUAAAACAGGGGUUACAUCAACCUCCAGUUCUGAAGAAGAAGGAGAUGAUCAAGAAGGUGAAAAGAAGAGAAAAGGUGGGAGGAACUUUCAGACUGCUCACAGAAGGAAUAUGCUAAAAGGCCAACAUGAGAAGGAAGCAGCAGAUCGAAAAUGCAAGCAAGAGAAACAAAUGGAAACUGAGCACCAAACAACAUGUAAUCUACAGUAACAAAAAAUAUAUCUCAUUUGGGGCUCAAAGCAUUAAUCCAGUUACUGAAAAGAGAAUACAAGUGGAGCAAACAAGAGAUGAAGAUCUUGAGACAGACUCAUUGAACUGAAUUUCCCCCUUCCCCCCAUUGAUGGAAGAAUGUUCCAGAUUCUAAAUUGAGGACUUCAUUAUUAAUGGCAUUACUGUGUUAUGAUUGUUAACAAAUUUCCUGUAGGGUACACACGACAUACUAAGGUCGGCCAUCAUUCCUUUUUUUUUUUUUAACCAAGCUUAAAAUGAAGCUUUGUGUUUGAAAGUAAUAACAAGCUCAGACGAAGAUGGUGGUUGUACAUUAUUCAUUUAGAAAAUAUAAAAAUUCAUUUUGUUUUGAAGCUAGUUAUUAAACUGGAAUAGCAGUUAUACCCCUGAGAAUGGGGCCCUUCUCUUGACAUUCCUUUGUUGUUUAAUUUUUUAGAAUCUUAAUAAAUGUUUUUUUAAUCCUGAGAGAUUAAACAGUAGUAGACUUGUUAAGAAUGAAACCGUAACCACAAUUUUAAAAUCAAGU